rnacentral:ncRNA from 2 species
AUGAACCUUCGGGGCAGGGUGCAAUUCCCUACCGGCGGUGAUGAUACGUUCGUGUAUCUCAGCCCGCGACUCCCGCUUCCGGCUUCGUGCCGGGGACGGGACUGACUUGGUGAGAACCCAAGGCCGACGGUGACAGUCCGGAUGGGAGAAGGUGAAG